GACAGAGGUCUCAAGCGUUGUUCGGAUUCAUUGGGCGUAAAGGGUGCGUAGGCGGCGUGGUAAGUCGGAUGUGAAAUCUCGGAGCUUAACUCCGAAACUGCAUUCGAUACUGCCGUGCUUGAGGACUGGAGAGGAGACUGGAAUUUACGGUGUAGCGGUGAAAUGCGUAGAUAUCGUAAGGAAGACCAGUGGCGAAGGCGGGUCUCUGGACAGUUCCUGACGCUGAGGCACGAAGGCCAGGGGAGCAAACGGG
rnacentral:rRNA from 1 species